rnacentral:rRNA from 1 species
UUGAAAGGGAAACGAUUGAAGUCAGUCGUGCUGGCGCGAAAUCAACCUUCUCGUCUUGAGAUCACAUGGCGUGGCGAGCCUCAAAACCGUCACGAAGCGUGAACUCUUGGUGAAAUGGAGCACUUUCGUGUCCGCUGGUUAACAUCAAUUUCGAACGUCAUAAAAAGGCUGGAGGGAUGUGGCUCCUUCGGGAGUGUUAUAACCUUUAGCGGAAUGUGGUGUUCGGGAUUGAGGAUUGCAACGAAUACCUUUAGGGCUGUUCCACCUGGCUUCUCUUUGGUAUCCUGGUGACGACAGCUUGCUGACGUCGUUAGGAUUCGCCUUUGAACAGGCUAGAGUGUGAGCAACUCGUUAAGGAUGUUGACGUA